GCGUCAGAUGUGUAUAAGAGACAGUCCUCCGCUUAUUGAUAUGCUUAAGUUCAGCGGGUAUCCCUACCUGAUCCGAGGUCAACCUAGAAAAAUUUGGGGUUGCUGGCCAGCAUCUCCCAGGACCCUAUAGCGAGAAAAUUACUACGCGUAGAGCCUAAGAGCACCGCCACUAGUUUUAAGGCCCGCCAGACGGCGAAGCCCAACACCUAGCCAGGCUAGAUUGGUAUAAAUGACGCUCGAACAGGCAUGCCCCCCGGAAUACCAGGGGGCGCAAUGUGCGUUCAAAGAUUCGAUGACUCA
rnacentral:misc_RNA from 1 species